AAAAAAAAAACAAAAAACUUGCUAUACCGCUUCUGUUUUCGUUCUUGGAACAGAUUAGUUUCUUUUGAGAAAAGUCAAACUCAUUCCCAUUACUUUCUUUUCAAUAAUCACCUCUCAGUUUUACAUCAGUCACUCAAUUUCGAAUUUCAUCUCCAUUCUCUUUCAAAGAAGAACACACGAAGAAUUUUAGCUUGCUUUACCUGCUUCUCAAAUUUCAGGUAUUGUUUCCUUUAAUUUUGAUUUUUUUUUUUUACCUCUCUGUUUCUAGUUUGAUAAUUUAGGGUUAUACUUGAAUUAAUUGUAUUUUUAAUCAUCCUAGGUUGAUUUAAUUGAUUCCAAGUCUCAAUUUCCUGUUCAACAAACAAGGAACGCACGAGUAAUUUUCAUUUUCAUUCUCAAUUUUGAAAGAAUCAAUUUAUUUUAUGUGUUCAAUUUUUGUUUAUUUAACUUAGGAUAUCUUUUUCAUUCUUUUCUUCAAGCAGAUUAUAGCGUUGCUCCUCCCAUUGAUCAUAUUGAGAACAGUGCUUUCUCCUUAAUUCCGCCAAGAACAACUUUGAUUUCAGGUGAUAAUUGAAUGUGUAAUAUUUUCAAUUGAAAUUAAUUGAGUCUCGUAAUAAUAAUAGUGAUUUGAGAUUUACAUCCUGUUGAAAUGAUUUUAGAGUGUUCUGCUAUUUGAAUGCGCAUUAAUUGUUUGAUUAAAUGUCUCUUUAAAAGAUUAUUUUUGUUUUUUAGCAAACAUCUUACUGAGAUGCCUCUCGUAAUAGUAUUUACCGUAAUGCACUUUGCUUCAAUUUGGUCAGUUUACACAUUUUAACAAGGGAAAAUUACAGAACUGCAACAGUUUUCAAAUUGAUUGCAGAUUAGAAGCAACAUGUGGCAUUCAACAUUCCUGCAAUGCCAUUUCUUGUUAUGGCAGCGGCAUUCUUGGUCAUGGCAUCACAAGCAAAUGCUUUGACUUGAAGACUUGCUUGGCUAUGAAAAAUAAGGAGAGCAAAGGUAAUUAAUCUUGGUGUGAUCAAUAUUUUUAUGGGGGUACUAAGAAAAAUAAAGAUAAUAUAAGGAAUGUUGUUGAGGAGUAUUUUGAUAUUUACAAAAGUGUUUAAAGUAAAAAUUGAUUUCUUAAAACUCAUUAGCUAGGGCACAUAAUAAUGGGGAGUAAAUUUUAGACUACGAAUAAUCC
rnacentral:lncRNA from 1 species